CCCAGACGACACACACACACCCUACGGGACAAAACCCGAGGUCGGCCAAUCCUGGGUGGCCUGACCCCAAAGCAGGGAAGGGCAGACCCUCGGGGAGAGAAAAGGUCAUCAAGGAGGUUCUCCUGCACCCCCCGAGUGCGCCUGGCAUCCUGCCCGCCCCGCCCCGCCCCGCGCCGCGCCGCGCCCAGUGGGGAGCCCACAGCGAGGAACUCCUGGCGAGAAUCCCGCACCCGAGAACACGUCAAGGAUACCCACGGCGAGGAUCUUCCCUUCCAGGGUCUCCGGGCUGACCUGCCGCCCGGAGCACUCCAGCAGCUUCCAGAGCCCGUGGACCCCCAUGAGGCUGCGGCGACGGGCGGCGCGGCAGGGGCGCAGUCGCCCUUCAAUUCCAAGCCUCGCACCGGGGGAAGACGGACGGUAACGCGGCCGCAGCGGUACUUCCGGGUGGCGACACUGCCUCACGGGAGAAAGGCGGGGCCAGAGAAGGGCCGGCGUCGGCAAGAGCAAGUCCUCCUCUCGCCCAAGGUUUGCCCCAAACCUACGCACUCUAAACGGAGGAGCGGCGGGGGCGCCGUCGGCGAGACGAACCGCCAGGAGGGGUUCCCCCACACAGCCUGUCUUCUGGAGUCAGUGCGUAAACUGACGCAAAACGGGAGCGCCCGCUUCCGUCUAAUGCAGGGCUCCAGACGGAAGUCCCGCCUCCUGGCUCACGUAUAUUGGCUGCGCCUCUCCAACCCCGGAAGCGGGGCGGGUUCCGUCGCUGUGUUUGUGUCCUGCUGUUCCCGAACCGCCUCCACGCGGGCAUGGUCGCCGCUAACCGUUACCGCGAUGCGGAGCAUCUCCUCGCUGACGUGACAGCUCUCCACGUGGCUUUUGCGGAUCACUUUCUCCCCGCCCGCCGCCAGGUCAGAAGUGACGAGCAGAAGAAGGGACUCGAUCGCGAGAGGAGUUGCUGGAAAGGCGGUUGCAGGCCCAGAGUCCGAUCCCGACCACGCCGCGUCCUAGUGUUCGGCCUUGUUGAGGGCUUGGCGUUUCCUCUGCAGAUGGGGCGGAAGAUCCAUCUUACGGACUGUGUUAGGUAGGAAUACAGAUUUUAUUUUUAACCUCUACAACCAAACAUGGAGCUCGAACCCACAACCCUGAGAUAAAGAGUCACAGCAUCUACUGACCGAACCUCCCAAGUGUCUUCUAAUGAAGGUGCUAACAGUGGCCAAAAUGAAAAGGAGAAACAAGAACUAUCAUUAAACACGGUUUUAAUCUUAACUUAAAAUUACAAAAAGAAAAAUUAGAUAUAUGUAUGUUUGUAUAUGUACAUAUAAUAUGCAUAACAGCACAUAUGCAAAUCAACAAUCCUUGUCUCUACAGCUGAACUGGGACCUUUAAGACUAAGAUACAAAAGACGAUUACAGUCACUUACCUAUAUGGUUAUUAUGGGGCCAUAUAAUACACGAAUUGUUAUGGACUGAACUGUACCUCCCUAAAAAGAUAUGUUCUAACCACAGGUACCUAUGACCAUAUUUGGAAACAGGGUCUUUGCAGAUGGAAUCCAAUUAUGAUGAGGUCACAUGGGAGAGGUGGAUACUUAAUCCAAGAUGACCAAUGUCCUUAUAAAAAGGGAAGAAGGACACACAGAGAGAAUGCCUGCCAGGUGAAGACUCAGACACAAGGCCAAGGGAACACAUGGCCAUGGCCAAGGAGGCAGAAUUGUUACAGCAGCAAGCCUAGGAAUGCCAAGGACUGCCAACAAAGCACCAAGAGCUGGGAUGAAGCAAAAAAUUCUACCCCAUGGAUUUCAGAGGGAAUGUGGCCUUGCCAACAGCUUGAUUUCAGACUUCCAACCUCCAGGACUAUGAGACAUUUUUUGUUGCUUUAAUCCCUCCAUAUAUGGUACUUUGUUAUGGUAACUCUAGGAAACUCACACACUAAUCAUUCUCCAGGAAAGACUAAAAAUUGGUUUACAUCCACAAAAGAAAAAAAACAAUGAACACAUUUUACAUGAUUUUGUUUAUAUCUAUCUGCAAGGCUAUUUUAAAAAGAACUCCUACCCACAGAAAUGAUCCUAGCUUGAGAAAUUGUUGGCAUUAUAGAGCUCUCACUUCAAACUCAGAAGCUAACUUCCUCAAGUGGUCAAGUAUUCAUAGCUCCUACCAACAUUCUGUCCUGCAACUAAAUUUCCUACAAAUGGACUAAGCAGUCAACAUGACUUGUUUCCUACUGCUUUCCAUUCCUUUCUUUCCCCCCCUAAUAUCUUGGGUGGUUUACAUUCUUUGCUAAAUGGCUAAGCACUCAUGGGUGUUAUAGUCACUGAAUUCUUUCAUCAUUGGGAGUCUGUUGCUUCCACACUCGAAUGACAAUGUGAAUGUGACAUUUGGUGACUUGUUCUCACCUGAGAAACGUGACUCCACUGUAGCCUAGCAGCUAGUGCUGCCAUGGUGAAGACUGAGACCAAAGGGAUAAUUUCCCUUUGUACAACUGUUUUUGCAUCUGGGUGCCCAGGACCCCCUUAUGCUUGAACUUCAGUAAUUCAGUAACUCCACUAGAACAUGCCUUGGUGCUGAUCAAUCUGUAUUGUGUUUCCUUUCCUGGGACACAAUUUACCCUUUCAAAUCUGCAGACUCUAGCCUUUCUUUAUUUUGGGAACAUUCCUUCCAGGGGUGUCUUCAAAUUCUUUUUUUUUUUUUCUAUUUGUUCUGAUCUCUUUCUCUGGAAUACCAGUUAGUGCUAUUUGGAGCCUCUGUCUCUUAUCCAUAUUUAUCUGUUCUUUUUUUUUUAAGAUUUUAUUUUUAAGUAAUCUUUACACCUAAUGUAGGGCUUAAACUUACAACACCAAGAUCAAGAGUCACACACUCCACCAAAUGAGCUAGCCAGGCACCCCAACAUUUAUCUAUUCUUUAAUCAUUUUUAUGCCUGUUCUUUUCCAUGUAAGUUCUGUAUGAUUUCCUCACACUGGCUCACCACUGACUUGAUUAUGCUUUUCACUGGGUUGGGUUUUUUUUCUCCUUGCUUCUAAUGUGGUUUUCACCUCUGCAAUGACUUUUUGUUGUUGUUCUCCACUUCUUUCCAAGGGCCUGUCAAAUAUUUCCUUCUGUUUUCAUAUAAUCUCUUCUUUGACUUCAUUUUGAAAAAUUUCAUAAAUUAUAACUUUUUUAAUAUAAAGGACUUAUUCUGAAUUUUAACUUUACUUCCUCAACUAACUCUCCCAAAAAUGUAUAUGUCUUCUACAGUUGUCCCUGUUUUUUUUUUUUUUUGCCACUUUUAUACACAUAUAUCAAGUUGCUUCCUCUAUGACUUUUACUCAUCCUUGAAUAGAGCUGUUUGCUAUCUUUGACACUCCAUCAUCAAAUCUGCCUUCAAUUUUGGGUGAGAUUUUUAUAAUUCUGGUAAAAAAAAAGUUUACCAUCUUAACCAUUUUUAAGGGUACAGUUGAGUAAUGUUAGCUAUAUUCACAUUGUGGUGAAAGAGAUCUCUUGAAAUUUUUCAUUUUUCAAGACUGAAACUUUACGCCCACUGGACAACCCAGCCUCUGACAACUACCAUUCUACUUUCCAUUUUUAUGAGUUUCACUACUUUAUACUUCAUAUAAAUGGAAUCAUACAAUACUUAACUUUUUGUCACUGGCAACCACCAUUGUACAUUCUGUCUCUAUGAUUCUGACAACUAUUAAUCACCUCUUAUAAGUGGAACCACAUAUUAUUGGUCUCUUUGUGUCUGGCUUAUUUCAUCUAGCAUAGUGUCCUCAUGUGUCAGAAUUCCUUCUGUAUUAAGGCUGAAAACAUUCCUUUGUAUGUAUAUAGCACAUUUUCUUUAUUCCUUUAUCUAUGAUGGACACUUGGGUUGCUUCCCCCUCUCAGCUAUUGUAAAUAAUGCUUCAAUGAACAUAGUAUGCAAAUAUCUCUUCAAAAUUCUUCUUUCAAUUCUUUUGGAUCCGGAUAACCAGAGUGGAAUUCCUGGAUCAUAUGGUGUCUUAGUCAGUUCAGGCUGCAUAGCAAAUUACAACAGACUUGGUAGCUUCAACAACAAACAUUUAUUUCUCAUAGUUCUAGAGGCUGAAAAGUCCAAGGUCAAGGUGCCAGCAAAUCUAAUAUCUUGUGAGAAACUGCCUCCUGUUUAGCAUAUGACCAUCCUCUCAUUGUGUCCUCACAUCAUGGAACAGAGAGAGGAGGAAGCAAGCUCCCUCUUCCUGUCUCUUCUUAUAAGGCACUAAUCUCAUUUACUGGGGCUCCACCCUCAUGACCCAAUCACCUCUGAAGGCCCCUCUUCUUAUACCAUCACCUUGGGGGUUAGGAUUUCAAUAUAUGAAUUGAGGGGAGACAAACAUUCAGCCUAUAACAUAGAAUCCAUUUUUAAUUUUUUGAGAAACUUCCAUACUAUUUUCUUCUAGGAGUUUUAUAGUAUUAGGUCUUUGCAUUUAUGUCUUUAAUCUAUUUUGAGUUCAUUUUUGUGUAUGAUGAAAAGAAAGGGUUAAGUUCAUUCUUUUUGCAGAUGGUAUCCACUUUUCCCAACACCAUUUGCUGAAGACAGUCCUUCCUCUAUUCUGUGGUCUUGCCACCCUUACUGAAGAUCAUUUGCCCAUUUAUAUGAGUGUCUAUUUCUGGGCUUUCUAUUCUGCCCUAUUUGUCUACAUAUUUGUCUUUAUGCCAGUAUCAACUGUUUUGCUUAUGUAGCUCUGUAAUGUUUUGAAAUCAGGAAGUGUGUGGCCUAUGUUCCACUCUUGCCAUCACUGCUUUCCCAGCAAUUCACUAGAGGCACUGUCCUGGGCUGGAAAUUACAGGAUAAGAUAAUGGAGUGGCAAUCAGAUCAGCAGGAUAUCUCCUUUUGCAACCUCUACCUGCAUUCCUGUAGUGCUGAACUGGAUCUCCAACAUGAACUCUGAUGUUUUUCCACUCAUACAGCUUCUCACACCCCUAAAUCUAACCAAAGGGUCACCAGAUGGUUUCAGGACUGCCAUACGAACAUCAGGAAAACCUGCACUGUUCCAGGCCAACAGUAGUCUGUGCAGCCCUUGGUGUCCUCUCUCUGUUGGUCCAGAGUGCACAGGAUUUGAUAACCUUGGAUUAAAGCUAUGUUUCUAUUCAAUAGCCUAUCUUGCUAUUUCUUUGUUUAAGGGAAGAUAGAGUUUUUCCUUAUUUUUUAAUUUUCUUGUUAUUAUUUCCAUGGGCUUGAGGUAUAGGGCCAAGGGCAGGCUGCCCCAAGAUGGACCACUUUCUCAUGAACAUUAUUUUGAGUUAAAAGCAAUGCAAACCCAGCAGAUUUAGAAAAAACUCUUCACUUCCCCUUCUACUGCCUGCUUUACCAGAAAGAGAGCUAUUGACAGAGACUCCUCUUUACUAAGAAAUUUAUCUGCCUAACAGGGCAAACUCUGAUUUUCAAAACAUUUCCUUUCACCUUCUGGCUAAUGGCCUUCCUCUCCUUUAAAUCUGACUCCUAUCCUCUCCUCAGCUCACAUAAGCUUCAUGUUACCUCAUUGUCAUUGGAAUUUCCAUGUCUGUGUGGAUUUCCUCUAUAUACAUUAUUAAAUUUGAUUUUCUCCUGUUAAUCAGUCUCAUAUCAAUUUGAUCCUAAGUCCAGCUAGAAGAACCUUGAAGGACAAAGGAAUGUCUACCUACCAACAGAGAGCAGGACUGCAGUAAAAAGACCUUUUUCUGGUCAUGUUUAACUCUCUCAACCUUCUAUCUUAAACACUUCUUCACAAAGCCUUAGGAUCAAUCCUAGGUACCCUUAAGAUUUUCCCUAUUUUUUCAUCAGUUCAAACUUGUUUUACUGGUCUUACUCAUGACAGGCCUACAAGUUUAACCAACUUUCUACUAUUUUUUAUGGGUGUUUCCACCCCAACCCUAAUCUUGUAAUAUAUUCUCAGUGAGGGGAUCCCUGGGUGGCGCAGCGGUUUGGCGCCUGCCUUUGGCCCAGGGCGCGAUCUGGAGACCCGGGAUCGAAUCCCGCAUCGGGCUCCCGGUGCAUGCAGCCUGCUUCUCCCUCUGCCUGUGUCUCUGCCUCUCUCUCUCUCUCUCUCUCUCUCUCUGUGUGACUGUCAUAAAUAAAUAAAAAAUUAAAAAAAAAAAAAAAAGAAAAAUAUUCUCAGUGAGAAAUGAGCUUGUCAUCCUGGUAAUUUUCCCCCUAAGAUUAUUUCUCCUGUCUACCCUUCCUCAUCCAAGCCUUUAUCGCAUCACAUGUUAAACUACUAAAAUACAGUUAUCCAGAUUUGUUGUUAAAACAUAUCUUAAAAAAAAAAAACAUAUCUUAAAUCUAAGAGAUUCAAA